GACCAAAUCAAUGCACAUCCAAUUCAUCCUUAUUUUUCGACAUUCCAUUAGCAACUCAUUCAACAAAAUUGAUUACGCUACCACCAUAAUCCGAGACGGCAGAUUUGGAAUACACGAAAAUGACAGAUUUUGUAGAACGAGAUCGUUGUUGGGAACUUUUUAGUGGCGAUUUCUCCGACGAUGGUGGAAUCUUCGCCGCCCGAUGAGGAGAUUGAAUCUGAGAAGAGUAAGGAGAAAUUCGAGUGGUACACGGUGUGGUUAGUGUGCGAUCUGGUUAAAUUAGGUAGAGUAAAUUAAGUGAUGCCCAAAAGUGUGUUAUGAGCGCUCCAUUUGUAUUAAGUUACUGACGGAUCUUACUUUGGCAAGAGUUUAAAGACAAUGCUUUCCGUUGAUUGGCACAUUGUUUGUGACUAAGAUGUCAAAAAUGGUGCUUGCUUGUGGAGCCAUUCGUACAAUGGUGGGUUUGAUUCUAGAUCUGGCCAACUUUCUUUCCUUACAACUAUAAUGGUGAAGUGGUGGAGAAUCAUAGUUCAAGUUCAUAUUAUAUAUAUACAUUGUUCAACGUGUAGAUAAUAAAGUUCAUUAAAAUGGAAAACAAGACAUAUGAAAUUGAAAUAAAAUAAUACCAGAUGAUUAUUGCAAUUUAACCAUAUA